GAUGAACGCUGGCGGCGUGCUUAACACAUGCAAGUCGAACGAAGCACUCUAUUUGAUUUUCUUCGGAAAUGAAGAUUUUGUGACUGAGUGGCGGACGGGUGAGUAACGCGUGGGUAACCUGCCUCAUACAGGGGGAUAACAGUUGGAAACGACUGCUAAUACCGCAUAAGCACACAGGAUCGCAUGAUCCGGUGUGAAAAACUCCGGUGGUAUGAGAUGGACCCGCGUCUGAUUAGCCAGUUGGCAGGGUAACGGCCUACCAAAGCGACGAUCAGUAGCCGACCUGAGAGGGUGACCGGCCACAUUGGGACUGAGACACGGCCCAAACUCCUACGGGAGGCAGCAGUGGGGAAUAUUGCACAAUGGGGGAAACCCUGAUGCAGCGACGCCGCGUGAGCGAAGAAGUAUUUCGGUAUGUAAAGCUCUAUCAGCAGGGAAGAAGAAUGACGGUACCUGACUAAGAAGCACCGGC
rnacentral:rRNA from 1 species